CUAGUUGCGAAGCUAGGACUGAAGGAAGCAGGACUACAAAACUCGGUACUGACGAACAGGAACCAGAUACGAGGCUGUGAGGAUGGAUGAGCAAGCACAUCAUUGUGAAGUCCAAAACACUUUUAAGUGAAUGCCGUAGCAGUAGAUCUGGCAGGAAUCGAGGGAAACCUCGCCUAU
rnacentral:ncRNA from 1 species